GAUGAAUAAUGAGCAUAAGCAGGAUUACUCCUACCCCCAUUGGAAGGCUGAUGACUCUUCUUGUUACAUUAAGGAUUCUUCAGGAUCAAUUAGAGUUCCUGUCAGGGCUCUAAACAUCAUAUGGGGCAACGCUCCCCGAUUUUGGCAAUGGAUCAAGCUAACCGAAGAGAACUCAAAGGCCUCAGGAUUUGAAGAAGGUGCAGCACUCAAUCAGGUUAA